rnacentral:lncRNA from 13 species
AACACCCCAUGGCAGCACGAAGUGGCAGAGGGGGAUCCUCAGACCACCCCCCACAGGGACCCUGGGGUCUGGCAGGACAGAGGGCACCAUCCCCUGUGCCAAGGGCUGCGGGUGUUUGGUGAGAGAAACAGAAAGUGGGCACUGCAGAAGUUUUAUGGGGAUGGCCUUUUUGGCUGGAGAAUGGUUUUUUGGGAUGAGGACACAGGCCACGCUCUGGGGAGAUGCUGCUAAGUGGGCACAAGUGAGAUGGGGAGGAGGAGCAGGGGGAGAGGCAGAGUUUGCCUGCUCCAGUGGUGGAUCCUGAUCCAGUUCAGGUGCUCGUGUGCCAGGCUGUGUCCCUGGCACUGGAGGGAUGUCCUGGCUCCCACGGGCACCACUCUGUCCCCACACUGCACACUCUGGGGGUGCUGGAUGUGUCCCCUGCCCUUUGUCCGACCAGCCCUGCUGCCUUCCUGCUUCUGGUGUGUGAGAAGAGCCUGUGCUGCCCGUGGGACUGGGGGAAAAAUCCUGCUGGAGGAGACAGAGGGAUCUCUGCUGUUACCCAGGCUGAGGAAAAGGACGUGGAGAGCAAUGGAGAGGAGUAUUUAUGAUGAUCACAAAGGAAAGAUCACAACACAUCCAGGCAAAAAAAAAGGAAGCCGGAGGAAUGAGCCGACCUACAGAUAAUAAGUAACAAAUCGGGAAAGGGAGGAAGAUAAUGGCUGUGAUUAGAAAUGAGACACUGGGAAAUAAAGAACAAUGGAUGGGAGAAGCAAAAGUAUCCAUUUAAAAAAAAAAAAAUCCAUAUCCAAAUGUGUUCUGGACAACAAGGAAACAUUUUAGAUUAGGCUGGAACAAAAGAAAUUCCAGCAAAAUUGCCGUGUUAUAGAUCCAGGUUUUGAUAGGGGCAGGAAUGCCAUCAAUAACGAUGCAGAUGAUGCAGAAGAGCCCAAAACCUGCUCUGGUAAACAAUGAAGGGAACAGAUUUCCAGCCCUCAUCCCCCAGCAUUUUCCAUCCCAACGGCAGCAGCUCCCAAAUUGUUCGCAGCUUAAAAGCUGUGAAGCCGCAAGCUUAAUUAAGCGCAAUAAUUAUUAAUUUUUAAAAGCUUGCAAUUAAUUUUUAAACCAGUUUUCACCUGCAAGAUCAGCCAAGUUGUUUGGAAAUUUGUGGAGGGAAGCCACUAAAUAUUUUACAAGAAUAAAGCUGGUGUCAGGGUGCUGUUAAGAGGGUGAAAAACGGGACUGGGCACCAGCUGGAGGUGCCACUGUCCCCUAAAGCUUCUCCCCCUCCUUCCUCCCUGCUCCCCUCUAUCUUAGGCUGGGUCUAUCCUAUAAACCCCUCCUCUGUUUUCCCCUUGGAAUCAAACCUAUUUUUUUAGAAGCUGGGGAAUAAAAAGUGUUUCCAAAAGCAUUCUGUGAUCCUGGGGUUUUUUCUCUGCUGCUGGAGUUGAUUGUCCUUGUUACUCCAGGAGAAGUUUGGAGCUGUUUAAUUUGUUGGCUCGCAACAGGUGGAAGGGGAUGCAGAAGGUUUGAUGCAGGAUUUGUUGGAUUAAGGGUGAUUUGGGAUGUUCAGGGGUUUGUGCGGAACCACAGCUCCAGCUGAAUAAAGUUGCAGGGUCCUUAAUUAAGUGCCCUUAAUUUUAUUAUAAAUCUUGAGGUGCACUGAUAUUUAAUCAGGGAAGUGAUGAUUCUGCCUCUGCCUGUGAAACCUGAGGGAGCCAAAGGGAAAUCCAGGGGACUUGGGUUCAAAAUCACUGUUUUUAAGGAAUAACUCCCUCGAGCCUUCACAGGAUCCCAGGAUGGUUUGGGUUGGAAGGGACCAUAAAAGUCACCGAGUUCCACCCCCUGCCAUGGGCAGGGACACCGCCCACCAUCCCAGGCUGCUCCCAGCCCCAAUGCCCAGCCUGGCCUUGGGCACUGCCAGGGAUCCAGGGGCAGCCCCAGCUGCUCUGGGCACCCUGUGCCAGGGCCUGCCCACCCUCCCGGGGAGGAAUUUCUUCCCUCAUUG